ACGGAGGAUCCAAGCGUUAUCCGGAAUUACUGGGCGUAAAGAGUUGCGUAGGCGGCAUAGCAAGUAGAUAGUGAAAUCCUGGGGCUCAACCCCUUCAACAUUGUCUAAACUGCUGAGCUAGAAUAUAGAAGAGGUAGCUGGAAUUUCUUGUGUAGGAGUGAAAUCCGUAGAUAUAAGAAGGAACACCGAUGGCGUAGGCAGGCUACUGGUCUAUUAUUGACGCUAAGGCACGAAAGCGUGGGGAGCAAACGGGA
rnacentral:rRNA from 1 species